rnacentral:rRNA from 1 species
AAUCAACGCUGGCGGCGUGCCUCAGACAUGCAAGUCGAACGAUUAAAGCUCUCUUCGGAGAGUGCAUAGAGUGGCGCACGGAUGAGUAACACGUAAGUAAUCUACCUUUGAGUGGGGAAUAACGUUCGGAAACGAACGCUAAUACCGCAUAAUGCAGCGGCACCGCAAGGUGACAGUUGUUAAAGGAGCAAUCCGCUUAA